rnacentral:tRNA from 1 species
GGGGGUAUAGCUUCGUGGUAGAGAGUGUGCUUAGCAUGCACAAGGUCCUGGGUUCAGCCCCCAGUACCUUUG